GCCUGGGUAGCUCAGUUGGUUGAGCAUCCGACUUCAGCUCAGGUCAUGAUCUCACUGUUUGUGGGUCCGAGCCCCGCAUUGGGCU
rnacentral:tRNA from 1 species